rnacentral:rRNA from 1 species
CCUACGGGAGGCAGCAGUGGGGAAUCUUGCGCAAUGGGCGAAAGCCUGACGCAGCCAUGCCGCGUGAAUGAUGAAGGUCUUAGGAUUGUAAAAUUCUUUCACCGGGGACGAUAAUGACGGUACCCGGAGAAGAAGCCCCGGCUAACUUCGUGCCAGCAGCCGCGGUAAUACGAAGGGGGCUAGCGUUGCUCGGAAUUACUGGGCGUAAAGGGAGCGUAGGCGGAUAGUUUAGUCAGAGGUGAAAGCCCAGGGCUCAACCUUGGAAUUGCCUUUGAUACUGGCUAUCUUGAGUACGGAAGAGGUAUGUGGAACUCCGAGUGUAGAGGUGAAAUUCGUAGAUAUUCGGAAGAACACCAGUGGCGAAGGCGACAUACUGGUCCGUUACUGACGCUGAGGCUCGAAAGCGUGGGGAGCAAACAGGAUUAGAUACCCUGGUAGUCCACGCUGUAAACGAUGAGUGCUAGUUGUCGGCAUGCAUGCAUGUCGGUGACGCAGCUAACGCAUUAAGUACACUCCGCCGUCGGGGUAGGUACGGGUCCGGCGAAGAAGUUAAAACGUUAACUAAAUUAGUUAAGUUAGUUACGGCGUGAGACGUUGCCGACGGACGACCGACGAGGGGAGGUUAGG